ACAGGGAAAUAAGCAGUGAGCAGCAGCCUCCCUUGUGUUUAGAGAUCCCUAAUGUAAUGCAUCGCCUCAUGUUUAGCCCUUCUUUCUGCGGCUAAUAACACCCUCUGUGACAUGACAAUGGUUUUGUAAUUUGUUAAAUGGUAUAUAAAGUGUAGCACUGGGGAGGCUAGGGACGGCGCACAGGUUAUUGUAGUCCUGGGAAGACAUGGAUAUAUGUCGGGAAUGAGAAGAAAACCGACACCAUUGUCGGCACUCUGGGCUUCUGCAGGGACUGGCUGGCAUUGUCGCUAAAGCCAGCCCUGCAUUCUUGCUGUGUUCAAGAGGCUUUUCAGUGAUUUCUGUUGAGAGGGAAAGCCUUUUUUAACUU
rnacentral:lncRNA from 1 species